rnacentral:rRNA from 1 species
CUACGGAUGGUGCGAGCGUUGUUCGGAAUUACUGGGCGUAAAGGGCGCGUAGGCGGCGAUGUAAGUCAAAUGUGAAAGUCCUCGGCUUAACCGGGGAAGUGCAUCUGAAACUGCAUUGCUUGAGUAUGGGAGAGGAAAGUGGAAUUCCCGGUGUAGAGGUGAAAUUCGUAGAGAUCGGGGGGAAUACCGGUGGCGAAGGCGACUUUCUGGACCAAUACUGACGCUGAGGCGCGAAAGCGUGGGGAGCAAACAGGAUUAGAUACCCUAGUAGUCC